rnacentral:rRNA from 1 species
GCGGCGGACGGGUGAGUAACGCAUAGGAAUUUACCCGGUAGUGGGGGAUAACCUGGGGAAACUCAGGCUAAUACCGCAUACGUCCUACGGGAGAAAGGGGGCUUUGGCUCCCGCUAUCGGAUGAGCCUAUGCCGGAUUAGCUGGUUGGUGAGGUAAUGGCUCACCAAGGCGACGAUCCGUAGCUGGUCUGAGAGGAUGAUCAGCCACAUCGGGACUGAGACACGGCCCGAACUCCUACGGGAGGCAGCAGUGGGGAAUAUUGGACAAUGGGGGCAACCCUGAUCCAGCCAUGCCGCGUGUGUGAAGAAGGCCCUCGGGUUGUAAAGCACUUUCAGCGAGGAAGAACGCCUGGUGGUUAAUACCCGCCAGGAAAGACAUCACUCGCAGAAGAAGCACCGGCUAACUCCGUGCCAGCAGCCGCGGUAAUACGGAGGGUGCAAGCGUUAAUCGGAAUUACUGGGCGUAAAGCGCGCGUAGGUGGCUUGAUAAGCCGGUUGUGAAAGCCCCGGGCUCAACCUGGGAACGGCAUCCGGAACUAUGAGGCUAGAGUGCAGGAGAGGAAGGUAGAAUUCCCGGUGUAGCGGUGAAAUGCGUAGAGAUCGGGAGGAAUACCAGUGGCGAAGGCGGCCUUCUGGACUGACACUGACACUGAGGUGCGAAAGCGUGGGUAGCAAACAGGAUUAGAUACCCUGGUAGUCCA